rnacentral:lncRNA from 1 species
CCAAAAUCGGUUAAGACAGACCUUGAGAUCUGGAUCACGUUUCUGGAACGCUACAAUGGAGUCUCCUUAUGGCAGGAAAUCCUCAACCUGUCCUCAAAUUUCCAGGUUCACUGAUGCCGCUGGGUCCUUGGGCUUCAGUUUAUUCUUUAGGGGACGUUGGUGUGCGCAACAAUGGCCAGCAGAGGAGCAAGGCGAGGCUAUCACGUGGGAUCUCACUUUUCUGGAGUUUUUUCCCCUUUAGUUGUGGCUGUUCACAUUUGGACUGAGGAGUUCCAGAAUCGCCGGGUGUGCUUCAGAACUGAUAACCAGGCAGUGGUCGACAUACUGGCUAAACAGUCAUCGCGUUCCGAGAGGGUGUCGCGCCUACUCCAAUCAUUCGUCCUCCAGUGACUCGCUUCCGAGCAUUAGCUCCCAGGGCUCAGCCACUGCCAGAACCCGUUCCGGAGCACCUGUGGAACCUUGGAGACGUGAAGUGAUUAAGGGAGUAUUAGCAUCUGUCGCACCCUCUACGCUUAAAUCAUAUAAGAAGGUCUGGUGUGAUUUCAUGGGGUUCAGGUCCAAAGUAUCUUCCCUUUCCACCAAUGUUACACCCUCCACAGAAAACGUUCUGCAAUACUUAACACACCUUCAUGGCCUAGGUUGAGCCUCGAAAACUUUGAGGAUACACAUAGCCGCUAUCACAUUCUUUAGUAGACCCAUGUUUUUCCACCGAUUCGUGCUGUGACUUUAUGGUCCGCAGGGCAAUUGAAGGUUGCAGGUGACUGCAGCCUCCAAGUAACAAAGGCCGCAAGCCUAUUUCUUACAAGCUGCUGUCCCAAAUCCAUAUGAAACUUAGGUCAAUUUGCUGGUCCAAGUUCGAGGCCCGGGUGUUCUCUGCGGCAUACGUUAUAGCCUCCUUUAGGCCGGGCUCCCAAAACGUUAAAGAUACACGUAGCCGCCAUCAGCUUCUUUGUAAAGCCAUGUUUUCCUCCGACCCGUGCAGUGACUUCCUGAUCCGCAGAGCUAUUGAAGGUUGGGGUAAGCUGCAACCCCAUAGAGCCGAGGGCCAUAAGCCAUUUUCUUACAGGCUGCUCUCUCAAAUACGCAUAAAGCUUAAGUCGAUCUGUUGGACCAAGUUUGAGGCCCACCUCUUUUCCGCAGCAUAUGCUAAGUCAAUUCCUUACGGGCUGCUCUCUCAGAUAUGCACAAAGUUUAGGUCAAUCUGCUGGACCAAGUUUGAGGCCUGCCUUUUUCCCCCCCGCUGCGUAUGCGAUCACCUUUUGGCGCCUUGAGGGUCGGUGAAGUAGUAGCCGAGGUUAAUGCAACUGGGUCAACGCGCGGCCUCCUCACGGAGGACUUGCAGUUGUCCGAAGCUAGCACGACGGUGUGGAUACAUCAAUCCAAAACGGUUCAGGCAGGUAGGGGUUGCCUUGUAAAACUUACAGCUUCAGCGCAGCGGGGCCCAUGCCCGGUCAAGGACACUAGAUGGUACCUUUACCUCAGACUGCCUGGUUCUGGCCUGCUCCUGGUUCACGAGGAUGGGUCACCUUUGUUGAGACACCAAUCCACAAGGGUACUCCGCAAAGCUAUUGAUGCCUGUGGUUUAUCUUCCCAGGAUUAUGCUGCACACUCAUUCAGGAUUGGCGCCACCACAACAGCGGUGCUCUUGGGUCUGCCGGCGGAUAGGAUUAAAGAAAUGGGCUGGUGGAAAUCCAAUGCUUAUAAAAGUUAUAUUCGCUAGAAUGCGCUCUGCUAUAUUACCCCUACUUACCUCCUUUUCUGUCCUUUCAUCCUCAGCUGUGAUCAGGAGAAGCGUGUGGAUUUGCGGCCACAGUAUAGUCCACUGGGCCCGCGUAUGGGCAGUCAGCUGCGGCCUUGCGCCUAAUCUUGGUCUGCCACAUGGUGUUCGAGUUUCCUGGUUCUCGAGAACAGGUAUGCGCUGGGAAGAGCUUCUGCCAUUGCUGUGGGAAAAAGUCGCCACGUUCGGCCCUCCCGGCAUCCUUGUCAUUCAAUUAGGGGGAAAUGACCUUGCUUACAGAAGGAGUGCGGACUUGUUGUGGAAUAUAAAAAGAGACUUGGAUGCGUUUGCUGCCUUGUGCCCCAGAACAACGGUGUUCUGGUCCUCCUUCCUGAAGAGAAUUUUUUGGCGCGGUGCGCUGAGCUGUAUGGCCAUUGAAAAAACCAGGAAACUCGUAAAUCGGGCAGUGGCCCGUUGGGUGCGCUUCAUGAAUGGCCGAGUCAUUAUUCAUGACCAAAUCCGGAUCGGCGACCAGGCCUUAUACCGGAAUGACAGGGUGCUUCCCUCUGACCAGGGGAACAACAUUUGGCUAGAUAGUGUCAUCAGCGGCAUUAGGGAUUGGUUACAGCCGUGAGGGUAUUGGCAGCGAGCCUUAUUGGCUCGGGUGGCGGUUAGGCAUUGGAAUAAUGUGUUGUGGUGUGUCGAAGGGCUAGGUGUGGCCAUCGCCUAUGCCUUCAAUUUUUGGGUAUUCCGUUAAAGGAAUCUGGCGGUCGUGUGUUCUGUCCGAUGCCUGCUUGGCGGGAGGCCAUGGCACGACCCUCGGUGACAUCAGGGGGGAGCCUAUAGUUGGAUUAGCAUCAACAGGCUCCACCUACUGGUGAAUAAACCCAUGUGUUUUAGAGAUCCAAUGCCUAAGCCAAUACCUUUUCACUGCUGUAAUCAAUAAAGUUGUGGCCUUUCCAUGCCCAUUAACCUUAUAUCACGUGUCCUUGUGUAUUCAUUUCACAUCGUGGGGGUCGGGUCCUCGAACCACAAAGACUCUCCUCCCUGGAAGAGAGGGGAGUGGUUGUGGGCGGGAGCCCAAGCACCGCCCCUAGCAGGGGGCGGUUGCCCCCUGCCUCCACCUCACCUGGCUGGCGCCCACGCCCCCUCUGCAGGCAUCCAACCNNNNNNNNNNNNNNNNNNNNNNNNNNNNNNNNNNNNNNNNNNNNNNNNNNNNNNNNNNNNNNNNNNNNNNNNNNNNNNNNNNNNNNNNNNNNNNNNNNNNAAAGACUCUCCUCCCUGGAAGAGAGGGGAGUGGUUGUGGGCGGGAGCCCGAGCACCGCCCCUAGCAGGGGCGGUUGCCCCUGCCUCCACCUCACCUGGCUGGCGCCCACGCCCCCUCUGCAGGCAUCCAACCAGGUGCCUCGGAGGGGGUGUGUUCAGCAGCCUUAUGCUGCGGUGCCAGCCUCUCCCUGGCCUCAUUCUUCGCCGUCGUCUCAUCGCAAGUCACCCACCCUCCACUCCCUUAGAGUUAGGGCUUAGGUCAUUGGCCUUGCUAUGGACCUUAGGUUGGUCGCCCUGGUUGUCCAGGGGGCCUGGUAGGAGUUUUUCCAUUUGGCAUUAGGCUUUUUGGUUUUUUCGCCUACCUCGUAGAAAUCGUCACAACUUUUGUGGUAUUGGUGGGUAGGUUAGGCAUUGAAAUAAUGUGUUGUGGUGUGUCGAAGGGCUAGGUGUGGCCAUCGCCUAUGCCUUCAAUUUUUGGGUAUUCCGUUAAAGGAAUCUGGCGGUCGUGUGUUCUGUCCGAUGCCUGCUUGGCGGGAGGCCAUGGCACGACCCUCGGUGACAUCAGGGGAGCCUAUAGUUGGAUUAGCAUCAACAGGCUCCACCUACUGGUGAAUAAACCCAUGUGUUUUAGAGAUCCAAUGCCUAAGCCAAUACCUUUUCACUGCUGUAAUCAAUAAAGUUGUGGCCUUUCCAUGCCCAUUAACCUUAUAUCACGUGUCCUUGUGUAUUCAUUUCACAUCGCGGGGGUCGGGUCCUCGAACCACAACUAACAGUCGACUUGUUACACUCAUUCACCCAUCUGCCAAAAACAGACCAGUAUAUUCUAACCUCUUUUAUUUUUCUUAUGGUACAUCAACCAUAACUAUGGCCCCAAAUAAGUUACUACUACUAUAAGUUACUACAUUUCAACCAUUAAGGAAACAAUAUUUUCAACAAAUCCUUUCUACAUGAAGAAUACCAUUAUUGCUAUUAUCCACAGCAGGGGAAAGCAAAAAUCUGGAUGAAAGCUGGAUACCCCACAGCUUAUUCCGGUUCUGAUGUGCUGCUGGUAAUUGUGCCAUUACUGCCUUUGGCAAGAUAUAAUUUUCCACCACAAAUUGCCAAACUGUAAACUUAGCAGGAAGAGAGUGAUCAUUUCAUUUUGCUUGAAGAAAUGAGGAAUUACAACAUCAGCACAAACCAAUACCUCACGUUCGAGAUAAUGUAUAAUUAAAAACAAGAUCCUGAAUGUUUUCUGCAUUAACACUUGAUGGAAUAAUCCUCCUAAUUUCAGCUGUAGGAGAAGGCUGUAUUAACAUUCUUAGCUUUCUUUUUGAGUGGAAUGGAUUGUAUCAAUAUAAAAGUUCUAAAAACGAAAAUUAAUAUAGCAUGCAAAGUUGUUAUAGGAGAUUUCAGUCUCCAGUGUUGUCACAGACUGCUAGAUUUUUAAUAGCACCAGAUUCACUUUGAAACCGCCAUAAAUAUUAGGAAGCAUCAUUUCUGAUCUAUCCAAAGUGUCAGAGUUACUGGGAUUGCAUGUAACUGAUUGCAGAAAAAGAGGGAAGUCAGUGGACUGUAUCCAUUGUUUUCUUUUUAUUCACAGAGGAAUCUUCAAUCCAUCUUGUGAGGAGAAAGUGAAGGAGGGUGAGUGAUUUUUGCAAAUUCCCCUUUUCUUCUGCAGCCCCUUGUACCACCUCAGCCGUCCUCUGGGCAGAGGGUGUGCAGCAAAAGGAGGAUCCCCCCCCCCAUUCACUGCCAUUCACAGAAAGGGUUCAAAGAGCCUUCCAUGAAACAACGUAUUUUUCUGCCCAAUUUUGAGGUUUCUUGACCUAGGAUUUUUAAAUAUAAAGGGCAGCAAGGAAAGAUUGCGGAAGGAGCUGCAGCCUAAGAGACUGUAGUAUAUUGUGACACUGGUUCUAUAAGAGUAGUCCUACAACUCCUAGAGAGGGGCUGCCUACUUCUUGUAGGCGAGGAGAGAGUGUGGGAGUUCAGGGAGGAGAGCUUGCAGGCAGCAGGAACUGUUUUGUAUGUGUGUGCUGAGCAUGAUGAAGCACAUGGGCAUCCAUUGGAGUCAUCCUUGGAGAGUCACCCACACCACUGAGGUGCUGUGUCUGCUCAACACUGCAGAGCUGCCUGGGGUGGGUGGGACUGGGGCAAUGAGGAGUCUCAUAUUUUAAAUGGGACAUGCUCAGUUGUUUCUCAAGGCUGGCAUGUGUGUUUGUGUACAGUAUGUGCUUUGCUGGGAGUUGUAAGCCUCCACUAGCUCAGAGCAUUUUUGUGGUCCACAAAAACCACAUUUUUUUUUUUGGUGUCUUUAAGAUACUAAAAGACUUAGAGGUGUUCCAUGGGGGGGGGAGUGGCCAUUGUUUUGGGAACUGCAUCUAACCACCUUUAUCUCCUGCAACUGGAGGUUCCAAGACAGGAUCCCAGCCACAUAAGUAACAGAAGUGGGCAACCAUGGUGUAAAUGUAACCGCUGCAAAUGUUUCUUGACUCUUGACACUCUUUGUGUGCAUUUACUGCACCUGUGUUCAGCCAUUCAUCUGAGCAAGCAGAGUCUUAAAACAUGGCUGGAGGCAGACAGACAAGCCUCCCUGCCAACAUUCCUGGGUGUGUGGGCUCCUUCUUACACCUUUGCACAGUUUGUUCUUGGUCUGCAAAAAAAUUGUAUGUUUUGUUGAAGGAUUGCAUAAUAAUACAUUGAAGUGCUAUGUAGUUUUUGUUGUUGCUGCUGUUGCCAUUUAUUAUCUGCAUUGUUUUUCUCAUCAGUUUCCACUGGAUGUGACAUGUCCAUCCCCAUCCAAAACUACCUGCGACUAUUUGUGAACUACUAAGUAUAUUUGAUUCAUGCCAAUGCCAAAUGGUACAAUCUUUUGUAAAACUGUAAUAAGUAUGCCGAUGAGGAAAUAGAAAGAAUAAUACACCUUUUGUUGGCCUCUUUGGUGGUUGGAGAGUCCUGUGAAAUCUGACACAUUCAUGUAUGUCAGCAAGAUAUUGCCUUAAUUAAAGGUUUCACAGUAAUUUAUUCAAACCACUGUUCUACUCCUUAUGCUUCGUUAGGGACAUACAGCCUUUAUCCUGAGAACAUAAAUAUAAUACUGAUAAUACUGAGGAACUGGACACAGAGAAAUAUAUUUAUUGCCCAGAUUUGAAAUGCCUCUCUUGAAUUCAGGAAAAUAUCUGAAGAUCUUAGUAGGAAAUGUGUAUGCAGAAGAGAGGAAAUAGUUUCCCCCUUUGCCAGCAUCCAUACCAACAUGGCAGGCAUUUUAGUGAGAGGUACAUCUAACUACUGUAUACUAAAAUAUGAGAUUGGCUAGUGAUUUAGAAUUUAUUGUAAGACUUGAAGCAACUUGUUAUUUUUAUUCUUGACUGAGUUAAUUAAAAAAUGGAGACUGAUUUAUA